rnacentral:lncRNA from 1 species
UUUGCAAAGAGUCCAUGGACUAUCAUCAAAUUGCAGCUAGAUUUAAGAGGGAGACUAACCGCUUUUUAUGAUUUAUAGACAGUUUGGAGAUCGAGGAACAAAUGAAGCUGGAAAUCAACUAACUAGUGUAAUUUGUUGGAAAAAAUAGAGGGAGAAGAAUCCACAUCUUUUCCUCGACAAGAAGAGAAUUAUUUAUGCUAUUUUGCAGAAGGUGUUUCUUAAUUUCUUACAGUAGUUGGGGCUGUUGCAUCAAGGCUCGGGGG